CUGACAGAAGAGAGUGAGCACACGCAGGCAAUAGCUAUGAGCAGCAUAGCUUUGCAGGUGCGUGCUCACUUCUCUUUCUGUCAG
rnacentral:pre_miRNA from 1 species